AGAAGACUGGGUGGCAUUAAAGCCUUUGGGGGAAGAUUUUAUUUAUGUAUUUGAGAGAGAAAGAGCACGAGCAGGGGAAGGGCAG
rnacentral:lncRNA from 1 species